rnacentral:tRNA from 1 species
GCCCUUGUAGCUCAGCCGGAUAGAGCAACGGAUUCCUAAUCCGUAGGCCGUGGGUUCAAAUCCCGCCAAGGGUACCA